AUUGAACGCUGGCGGCAGGCCUAACACAUGCAAGUCGAGCGGAGCGACGGACGGGUGAGUAAUGUCUGGGAAACUGCCGGAUGGAGGGGGAUAACUCCGGGAUACGGUAGCUAAUCCCGCAUACUAUCAGAUGAGGCUAGGUGGUAUUAGCUAGUUGGUGGGGGAAAGGCCUACCAAGGCGACGAUCCGUACCCGGGCUGAGAGGAUGAUCAGGCACACUGGAACUGAGACACGGCCCAGACUCCUACGGGAUGCAGCAGUGGGGAAUAGUGGACAAGGGGCGAAAGCCUGAUCCAGCCACGCCGCGUGUGUGAAGAAGGUCUUCGGAUUGUAAAGCACUGUAAUUUGGGAGGCGUUACCAACAGAAUAAGCACCGGCUAACUCCGUGCCAGCAGCCGCGGUAAUUC
rnacentral:rRNA from 1 species